GAUGAAGAACGCAGCGAAAUGCGAUACUUGGUGUGAAUUGCAGAAUCCCGUGAACCAUCGAGUCUUUGAACGCAAGUUGCGCCUCAAGCCAUUAGGUUGAGGGCACGUCUGCCUGGGCGUCACAUAUCGUUGCCUGAUGCCAGUUUCCUCGUGAUGGGUGACUGUGCAGGGCGAAUGAUGGCUUCCCGUGAGCAUUGUUGCCUCAUGGUUGGUUGAAAAUCGAGUCCUUGGUAGGGAGCGCCGUGAUAGAUGGUGGUUGAGUGACGAACGAGACCGAUCAUGUGCAUGCUCCCCAAAAUAUGGCCUCUGUGACCCACACGCGUCUUUUGACGCUCAUGACGAGACCUCAGGUCAGGCGGGGCUACCCGCUGAAUUUAAGCAUAUCAAUAAGCGGAGGA
rnacentral:misc_RNA from 1 species